GUCGUACGGGUGCGUAACACGUAUGCAACCUACCCUUUACAGGAGGAUAGCUCGGGGAAACUCGGAUUAACCCUCCAUAAGAUCGUGGUGAGGCAUCUCACAGCGAUAAAAACUACAGGUGGUAAAGGAUGGGCAUGCGACUGAUUAGUUAGUUGGCGGGGUAACGGCCCACCAAGACGAUGAUCAGUAGGGGAACUGAGAGGUUGAUCCCCCACACUGGCACUGAGAUACGGGCCAGACUCCUACGGGAGGCAGCAGUAGGGAAUAUUGGUCAAUGGGUGAGAGCCUGAACCAGCCAUGCCGCGUGCAGGAAGACGGCCUUCUGGGUUGUAAACUGCUUUUAUUUGGGGAUAAAAAGAUCUUGC
rnacentral:rRNA from 1 species